AAAAAAAAAAGUCUCCAUGAAAAAUCUUAUAUGUUUACUUUUUGUAUUAAACAUCCAAAAAAAAAAAAAGCAAAGGUAAAAUAAUAAUAAUCAAAUACACAAUAACAAUCACUUAAGCCAUCGAAGAAUGUUGUGACGACGACUUAGGCCAUGUAACAUAUAGGUCAAGAGAUUCAUAGCUUCAGUUUCAGGACAAGUAUCAUCUUGCGUUGGCCACAACACACCUAUCUUGUCCCCCAAGUCACGGUAUGGCUUGUAGUUGGUCCACUGACGAACAUAAGCUUGAGCCUUGUCUUGUAUAAAAAAAGAUCUGUUGGCAUAAGUUUGGUCUCGGUUUUGUCUGAAAGAGAAGCCAUCAUAGUUCUCAAAAUCUGGCCUAAAAGGGUAUUUCUCAGUUGCUUCACGUUGCCAUCCUUCAAUCAUCUCUUUGAACAAACUUGAAUAGUCGACGAUGUUUAGAUCUUGAUCAGCAAGUUGGCUUACAUAUUUUGCAAUGGAAGAUUCGAUCAAUAAGAACAGGAUGAAGAGUUUGAAUAUGGAGAGAGACAUUAUUAUGAUUUGACAAAAGAAAAAUUGUGUAUUUCUGAUCAAUAUCGUGUUAUUUAUAAGGGUCUCUAUUUAUAAUCGAGUUAACAUUAAAGUUUCUCUCGGGAUUGGAGUUAUAUAUAUAAGCCUAAACUAAUUUUAUUUAUUUAGUUUCUUUUGUUUUUGUCAAACACACUUUUAGUAAGAUAAUGUCACAGCAAAACUAAUUAUAUUAAUUUAUUGUUAUUUUCUAAGUAAUUAUCAUUGUUCUUUUGAAAGUAAUUAAUGUGGAGUUUUUCAUUGUUAUUUUUUAAGUAAUUUCUAUAUAUUAUUUCAAUCAAAAUGUUUUAAAUUUUUUAAUAUAUAUUGAAGAUAUGAUAAUAUUUCGGUUGUUACCAAAAAAAUAUAAACCACUAAAAUCUUGACUACAGAUUUUUUAAUAUCAUUUUACUAAACUCAUUUAAAUUUGUAUGAUUUAUAAAAAACAUAGAUCCAUGGUGUACCACGGGAUAGAUUCUAGUUUCUAAUAAAAUGAUAUCAGUCACAAAUAUAUAUAUAAUUUUUUAUAUAUAUAUAUAUAUAAUUGAUGUCAAAAAAAUUAUAUAUAUAUAAUUAUAAUACUAUUUUUUUUUUACUAUUUAUUUGUAAAAGAUAAACUUUAGCUCUAAUAAACACAACCGAUUUAUUCUAAGGAUAAACAUAAUUAAUUAAGGAAUUUAAUUAGUCUAAAGUUACAAUUGGAAAAAGAAGUCGAGAAACUUGUGUAUAUAUAAAGUAUAAACACAAACUCCUAUCAUCACUUGAGGUCUUCAACAAUGUCUCUGGCCAUAAAACUCUUCCUCAUUCUCCUUUUAGUUGAAUCAUCAACUGCAUUGUAUAGAGUUGAUUUCAAUGAAAAUCCAAAAAGUUAUCUCGAUCAACCUGAGGUUGACUAUAUCAGGAUUUUGAGAGAGACCGUUCGAGGAUGGCAAGGAGAAGCGGACAAAAAAUACGGUUUAUACUCAUCGACCGAUUACAUGAAGCGAUCAUUGUUCCUACAAGACAAAGUUCGAAGAUAUGUUGAACUUUGGGGAGAGUGGAAGAAUCAUAAAGGCUAUCCAUUCCAUGACUUGAGGAAGAUCAAAAGUUACUUGUGGACGAUACAGUAUGAUACUUGUCGUCAAGCUGAGGGUACAGAUCUUUUGACAUAUCUUAUAUAUGGUCUUAGUGCAGAAACUGAUAUGGUUUAAUUUGUUUGUGUUUUUUUUAGAGUUUUUUUUUUUUUUUUUCAGUUUGUUUAUGUCUAUCUAGGGUUUUUAGUUUGAUACGUUCUUGUUUGGGACUUUUUUAUUUUUCUAUAGAAUUUUUGUUUUGAAUUCAUCUUUUUAAGAUAAUCUUUACGAUCAUCUAUACCAUAUAGUGGAAACUUUGAUGAAUACACAAACACAAGUUACACCAUCAAAGACCGUAAGAAGAAAAAAAACAUUCUUUUAAAAGUCAAUAAAGAAAAUUAGGUAUAUGAAUUGAACUUAAAAUCUUGUUUAAUCUGGCUGGUCAUGACAAGUGAUGAAUUGUGUACCAUCUAAGAGCCUAAAAUCAAAAAGAAGCAAUGCUAACAAAACCCAUGAAAUGUUUCGGUCUUUGUUGGAGCUCCGACAUAAAAUAUACUAGGAAGAGUUUCCUAUACGCAAAACCAAACGUUUGGCUCCUUUGCCUUAAUACUGAAAACACUAAAUGACGACGUAGGCCAUUUUUUAGGGUAGGCUUGUUUGUUCGCUUAGCUCUUUUUUGUUUUCUUCGGUGUUUUUAGAGUUUUCUUUUCCAGUUUUUGUUCAUGUCUAAGAUUUUAUACGUUCUUGUUUGGGACUUUUUAUUUUCCUAUAUAUAGAACUUUUGUUUUGGAUUCAAACUUUACUAUAAUCCUUUCGAAAAAGCUAGCUACACACAUGACAUGAUCAAUACAUAAACACAAGUGCACCAAAAAAGACAGAAAUAAACAAACAUACUUUUAAAAGUGAAUAAAGCAAAACAUAUGUCUCCUUCAUCUCCGCCAUGUCAUUAUCAGAUCUUGCUUCUUUGUAACAAACUCAGAGAUCGAGUUGAGAGAGAAGACGAAACAAAGAAGAAGAUUGAAGUAAACUUCUCAUUAACUCAAUAAAUUGUACAGUAUAGUUUCAUAUAGUUUCUACAUAGAGGGCGAAAUUUGCAAGCAUAUCUCAAAAUUUACUUCUGUGAGAUCGGCAGAAGGUUAAUUAGUGUGCCAAUUAUCGUUUUAUUUUUUUCUUACUACUAUAAACAACUCAUUGAUUUAUGUUUUGCAGAUGUCACCAUACAUGUGUCUAACAUUAACGAUUUGAUGAAAGAGGAGGCCAGACACUUGCGUGAGAUGAUAGAUGCUUUACACAAAGAACAUACGAAGCAGAUUCAUGCAUACAUAAGCUGCCAUUUGACAGAUCAAUCCAAAUUUAAACACAUCAAAGGUUAUAUAUUGGAUGGUUCUAGACAACGUGAGAUAUUAGCUGUUGUUGUUUUUAUAAGUGUAACAUCUUUUCCAUUUUGAACGCUGAAACAAGGAUGUAAAAAAUUAUGUUAAUUAGCAGGUUAACAUCUCACAAUUGGUUUUCUUUGUUUGUUAAAGGUGAAUAGGAGGUGAUUGGCUCAAAUUUUACCCUGAGCUACACUCUCAAUUAGGAUUAUAAGAAUCCGAGUUUUUUUUCUCUUUCGAAUGAUUCUAGAGUUUUUUUUUGCUAUUUGGGUUUUUCGUGUAUAGUUUGACCGGGCCUGUUUGAGAUGUUUUGAAUUUUUAUUAUUAAUAAAUGAUAUUAAUAAAAAUAUGACCUCACAAUUUAUCUGAUGAAAACCAAAAAAAAAAUUCUCCAUGAAAAACCUUAUAUGUUUAUUUUUUGUAUUAAACAUCCAAAAACAAAAAAGCAAAGGUAAAAUAAUAAUAAUCAACUAAACAAAAACGUACCCUAGAGAAUCCCUAUAUUAGUAAAAGAGAAGUACAAAAAGUGUUUCCGGGUCGGGUCAAUUUAAGAAAAUUACCCGAAAUUUGUAAUUGGAUCUUUUAAAGUUGGAUAGAUUAAUGGUUUUGGAUACAUACACCGGAUACUUUCCAAAUCUAAUUUUAGGAUUGUAUUAUUUCCAUAACUAAUUAUAGGAUUUACUAAUAUUUCUCUAACUAAUUUAAUACAAUCUAUUUAAAAAAUAGUAUUCUUCUUUCACUUUUAUUUGAUAUUAUUUAUAAUUUAUGAUAUUAUACUAUAUAAUAUAAAAAUUUAAUAAAAAUUUAAUUUUUUUUUUUGCAUAUGUUGCAAUUUGAAUUUUUCAAAACGGACAUAUAAUACUCAACUACACUCGAUUAAAUAUUUUGGACAAUGGUUUAAAAUCAUUAUAAGUAUAACCAAUAUUAAAACCAUUGUUACUUGAGCAUAUUUAAAAUUUCAAAUAGUUUCAAGAUAUCAUAAGUAAAAGGUUCAAAUAUAUAAAAAUUUUAGAAUUUAAAAUAUUGAAAUAUUUUUUUGAAGACAUAAAUGUAAUUUUGGAGACAUAAUUUUGAUUGAUAAAAUAUAUUAUAUAUCAAACUAUGUAAAUUUUAGAUAGUUCACGGGUAGUUUGUUAAAAUCACAAUUAUAAUGAUAAAGCCAGUUACAAAUAAUGUUUUUUACGAAAUGAAUUAUGUUACGGGUUGGACCUUCAAAAAAUAUAUUGUAAACAUGUAAUUUUUACGUAUAUUCCUACUUUUACUACAAAAAUAGUUAAAAUGAAUAGUUUAUCGACAAAUAUUAUUUCGUGCUGUUAAAUUUUCACCGUGUUUUUAAUUGUAUCAAAACUCAGUAUAUGAAUAUUUACUCGAUUUUUCGUUUAUUAUUUUAUUUAAACUUAUUAUACAAAUAUAUGAUUUACUGUAAUCGAUUGUACUGUAAUAAAAUUAAAAUAUAACAUAUUAGAAUCCGUUAAAAGUUAUAUAUGUAAUUAUUUCCCCCGCGCUGUAGCGCGGGUCCGAACCUAGUUAAUUAGAAAAAUAACAAUCACUCAAGCCAUCGAAGAAUGUGUUUACGACGACUCAGGCCAUGUAACAUAUAGGUCAAGAGAUUCAUAGCUUCAAUUUCAGGACAAGAAUCAUCAUCUUGGGUUGGCCACAACACACCUAUCUUGUCCCCCAAGUCACGGUAUGGCUUGUAGUUGGUCCACUGACGAACAUAAGCUUGAGCCUUGUCUUGUAUAUAAAAAG
rnacentral:lncRNA from 1 species